GAACCAUUUCCCUGUUUGACUUCUAGGUUUUAUGGGUGUUAUGACUUAUACUGUGGUACUCUAUAUCAGGUAAUAGAGGAGCAGUGAUACCGUACUACAGGUAAUAGAGGAGCAGUGAUACCGUAUUACAGGUAAUAGAGGAGCAGUGAUACCGUAUCACAGGUAAUAGAGGAGCAGUGAUACCGUAUUACAGGUAAUAGAGGAGCAGUGAUACCGUAUUACAGGUUAUAGAGGAGCAGUGAUACCAUAUUACAGGUAAUAGAGGAGCAGUGAUACCGUAUUACAGGUAAUAGAGGAGCAGUGAUACCGUAUUACAGGUAAUAGAGGAGCAGUGAUACCAUACUACAGGUAAUAGAGGAGCAGUGAUACCGUAUUACAGGUAAUAGAGGAGCAGUGAUACCGUAUUACAGGUAAUAGAGGAGCAGUAAUACAUUAUUACAGGUAAUAGAGGAGCAGUGAUACCAUAUUACAGCUAACAGAGGAGCAGUGAUACCAUAUUACAGCUAACAGAGGAGCAGUGAUACCAUAUUACAGUUAACAGAGGAGCAGCGAUACCAUAUUACAGCUAACAGAGGAGCAGUGAUACCAUAUUACAGCUAACAGAGGAGCAGCGAUACCAUAUUACAGCUAACAGAGGAGCAGCGAUACCAUAUUACAGUUAACAGAGGAGCAGUGAUACCAUAUUACAGCUAACAGAGGAGCAGUGAUACCAUAUUACAGCUAACAGAGGAGCAGUGAUACCAUAUUACAGUUAACAGAGGAGCAGUGAUACCAUAUUACAGCUAACAGAGGAGCAGUGAUACCAUAUUACAGCUAACAGAGGAGCAGUGAUACCAUAUUACAGGUAAUAGAGGAGCAGUGAUACCAUAUUACAGCUAACAGAGGAGCAGCGAUACCAUAUUACAGGUAAUAGAGGAGCAGUGAUACCAUAUUACAGGUAAUAGAGGAGCAGUGAUACCAUAUUACAGGUAAUAGAGGAGCUGUGAUUAUGGGGUCAAAAAUAUUAUAAAUACUUUACAGACUUUAGAAAUACACCAAAAACAGGAAAAUCUACCCUCAGAAAUCAGUCAGACUAAUGAAUAAAAUGAAAUGUGUUUGAAUCCUAAAUCGACCCUUAGCCCCUGUUUCACAGGCCUAGGUACUCCAGUAUUCUAGUCUACUACUGUAUAUCACCCUAUUCCCUACAUAGUGCACUACUUUUGGCCUGAGCUCUGGAUUAGAGACUUCCACAGGGAUCAGUCUUGUGUUCUGUUGGUGUUUCUGUCAGCUAGAAGAAUAAAGACACACAUGUU